AGGACGAACGCUGGCGGCGUGCUUAACACAUGCAAGUCGAACGGUGACGCUGGAGCUUGCUCCAGCUGAUCAGUGGCGAACGGGUGAGUAACACGUGAGCAACCUGCCCUUGACUCUGGGAUAACCCCGGGAAACCGGAGCUAAUACCGGAUACGAACCGCACAGGCAUCUGCGCGGUUGGAAAGAUUUAUCGGUCAAGGAUGGGCUCGCGGCCUAUCAGCUUGUUGGUGGGGUAAUGGCCCACCAAGGCGACGACGGGUA
rnacentral:rRNA from 1 species